CCCCUCUCGUGUCUCCUAGGGUGAUAUCACUGUGCAGCUGAUUAUUCUCGUUUGAGACACACACACAAAACUAGUCUAAUUAUCUAACUGAUUUACGUGUGAAUUGAGAGACGUUUGAGACUUUUUCAAGUCUUGAACAUCUCGAC
ensembl:ncRNA C01F4.6 ncRNA